AGAAAUCAAUUGCUGCUAGGGCUUUUCUCCUAACCCUCUUGCGCCGUCGAUCAUCUAUUCCCCCUCCAAAACUCCGAUCGUGACGGAGAUGGUGGUGGCGCAACAACCUCGACGAAAAGGUGAGCUUUUCUUCCUCCUCUUCUUUUAUAUUAUUUGCAAUAUAGAACCAAAAAACAGAAAAAGAAAAGGAAAAUCUAAAAAAAUCUAAUAAUCACCUUUUAAAGAAUGAAUAAUCGAUUUGCUCUCGUAUUAGUUUUCUCUGUAUUUUCAGUCACUUCCCCCCUUUCUUUUACAUAUUAAAUGGCCUUUUAUAGGCUGAAGAAAAAAAAGAAAAUAAAUCGAUGACAUUAUUUUUUGCUUGUUUUUCUCCUCUGGAUUCUUUGAGUCCGCGAUUGCAGGAGUUCGUGGAGUGUACGACGCGAGGAAAAGGGGUGGUUCCGUAACGUGCGCCGAUCAGAUCUGCUGGAGCGCAUCGUAGGGGCUGUUGCGGCGCUGAGACGAAUGCAUCUAGGGUUUCGGUGUUUUAGGGUUUGGGUAAUUGGGCCUAGGCUAGUAGUUUUGCUGUAUUGGGCCAUGUCCUAUUUUGUGCGGGCUUGGGUUAUUUUUGUUUGUUUUUAUUAUUUUAAAAGCUCGGGCAAAAGGGCUAUUACAGCUACCCCUCUUUGCUUGUUAUCGUGUAACGGGAACGGAGCAAAGACUUUAAAAUGGCCAAUUUUGCCCGGUCGUGCUAGACCUUGCUGCUCCUUUUUCUUCAAGUAGUCUUGUUCCUUCCUACUGCAUCUUCAGAGGUAUAGGAACUGGUGCUCCAAUCUACCCCAUUGGAAUGUCGGGGAGAUAGGAUUCAUAUGUUGUAGCUUCUCAAAAGAACAAAAUCUGCUAUCUUUAAUCUGCUCCACUGCAACUUUAGGGAGAUAAGACUUAUAGCUUCAACUUGUUCUGUUACAACUUAAGGGUAAAUCUGAUGUGAUCUGCUCUACUGCAACUUCAGAGAGAUGGGAUCUGCAGUUUUAAUCCACUCCAUUGCAACUUCAAGGAGAUAGGAUUGGUUACUUUUGUCUGCUCCACUGCAACUUCAGGGAGAUAAGACUUGUAUCUUCGAUCUACUUCACCACCAGUAUGGGAAGACAAGAUCUGCUUUCUUUGAUCUACUUCACGCCAGUACAUGAAGACAAGAUCUGUUUUUUUCGAUCUACUCCACCACCAGUAUGGGGAGAUAGAAUUGCUGGCUUCAAUAUACUCCACUACAACUUCAGGGAGGUAAAAUCCGCCGUCUUCGAUUUGCUCCACUACUGCUUAGGGAGGCAAGAUCUGUAAUCUUCAAUUUGUUCAACUGCAAUGUUGGGGAAACCAGAUCCGCCGUUGUAGCUUCAAUCUGUUCCACCGCACUGUCAGGGAAGUAAGAUCUGUCGUUGUGGCUUAAAUCUUUUAAAUUGCAAUAUCAGGGAAACCAGAUCCGCCGUCGUAGCUUCAAUCUGUUCCGCUGCACUACUAAAGAAGUAAGAUUCACCGUUGUGGCUUCAAUCUUUUAAAUUGCAAUAUCAGGAAAACCAGAUUCGCCGUCGUAGCUUCAAUCUGUUCCGCUGCAGUACUAAGGAAGUAAGAUCCGCCGUUGUGGCCUCAAUCUUUUUGACUUUUCAACCCGCUCCAUUGUUACUUAGAGAGACAAGGCUUUAUGGUUUCUCUAAUCUGCUCUCUGUGAAACAUGACCUGUAUGAUGAACCUAGUUAUGCCUAAUGAUUAGGAUGUCAUGGUUGGAAUAGAUCACAUGCUCCUAACUAGGCGUGUAUGAAUGACAUCUAAAUGCUAUGUCAUGAAAAUGAUAUUUUAACGCUUGAGUUAUUAUUACUCCAAGUUUAUUAAGGUUUAAUUGCAAAUGUGCUAUAGCGCCUCUUUGCUCAGCUAGCGUCUCCAAAGAAACAUUUGACCAGAUUGCCCCUCACUGUAAACCUCCAAGUUUGAUCCCCUGGAAUGCAAAAUUUGAACCAUCUUUUUCCCGUAUUAACUCAAGGGUAGAAAGAUUUGACCUUUUUUCAAUCCUCUGCUAUCACAAUUCGAGGAUACAGGAUGUGAAACUUUUUGGUCUCUUACACCAUUCCCAUGGUGUUGUACCAAAUGCUCAUGCACAAAUGAAGAACUUUUUUCUCCAAGAACUUCUUCUUCUUAUUAUUCGGUGAUUACUUUGAGUGACCUCUUUGAAGCUUUGUCACCAACACGGCAUCUUGCCAUUUUGAUCAAUCAAAACUUCAGACAAGAAAAUUCAAAGGGAUAGUCUUAAUUUAGACUCUUCUUUAUCAGAUUUCUAACCUGGUGCGUUCUAAACAAUAGUCCUGUUUGAGGUUCCUACAUUAUUCAGAAACUUCUAAAGUAAUAUGCAAAACUUCCAUUGUAAAAGUUUUAUUAGUCCAUUAAUCAUUAUUCUAAUGCAACAUGCUUGCAAAAAAAAAAGAUCAUGGAUAAGAAUUGAGUUGGUUCUGAGCAUAGCUCGAAAUGAAUAAGUUGACAAAGAAAUUGAUUUAGGAAUGCAUAUCUUGGAAAUGAAUGAAGUGUUCCAAGAAAAUAAAAAAUAGUAUAAGGAUUAGGUGCCCCAGAUAUCGCAGCUUGAACUUUGCUGUACAGACUUUAAAGACCAUUCUGAGUUUAACAUGUGUUUAGGAGUACUUUGUCGAUGCCCCUAAAAUGUCACCUACCCUUUCCUGUUGAUUCAGGUAUAGCAAGACCACUGCAUGCCCCCAUUCUGAUCAGUAUUUUAAGCUGCUCUGCAAAUUUCAAGCGCUAUUUUGAUCAACAUUUGAGCCGCCCUUUUCGGGUUUUCAACUCAAAUCCCCUUUGGUCUAAGGCGCCAUUUGCGGGUUUUCACCUUAGCCUCUCCAUUUUACUUUUUCAUUUUUUCAUUUUCAUCUUUUUAUUUUUUCACAUCAUUUCUUUUUCUUUUCCUUUUUUUUAGACUCAAACUUCCCUUUGCGGGUUUUCACCUUGGUCCUCUUCUUCUUUAAGCGGAGUAUUUCCUGACUGAAUCUGAGUUUACAGGACUUUGAAAAUUUUUACCAUCCAUCUCACUCAAUAUCAAAGCUUCUCCAGAAAAGGUUUUCUUUAUAACAUAUGGACCCUCCUAAUUUGGCCUCUAUCAUCCUCUAAAAUCCUCUUGUAUAGGAAGGAUCUUUUUCAACACUAGUUCCCCUUUGUGAAAUUCUUUGGGACGAACCUUCGGAUCUUCCUCUUAGGAUAAAAUGUAGAGAAAUGGCAAUUCGACUUCAAUGAGUAAAGCUAUGAUAAGCCAAAGAGGAGAAUAUUGCCCCAGCAAAGAAAAUUUACUGCAUCGUUCAUAACAUCGAUGUUGAACCUACUGCACAUUUUUGACAUCAUGCUGUUAUUCAGAUUACAAGUUAGUGCUUAACCCGAGCAUAUCUGGGUAUGACCAUGUGAAGACAUCAUUAAUUUCUUGGGGUAGCUCUAUAAGGUCCCGCCUCGUCUUUGUGGUCAUGUCAAUUCCAAUCUUCACCAAGCUCACAAUUUCUGAUGAGUCAUUGUGAUAUAGAAUCUGUCUAUCCUCUUAUUCUACGAUCCUCAACAAGUCUGGAGAUAAGCUACAAUCCAUGUCAUCUUCAAAGUUGUGAGAUUCCUCUAAACACAUGUCUCACUAAAAAGAAAAUUCAGAGUCUGUAACAGCGUCACUCAUGUCAUUGAUAUUUGGGGACCCAUGGUGGGUACCGAAGGAUAUACAAAAGAAUAUAUGAAUAAUAUGAAUGAAUGAAUGAAUAGUUUGGCAGAAAAAUCCAAAAGACUGAAAGAAAAAAAUCGUAAAGAAUGAAAGAACAUUUGCUUAAAGAUGAUUGCAAUAAUGUAUUUCAUUAAAAAUAAUAAUGUUCAGACAUGAGCCCAUUUCACAAAGAAGUUCUUAUUGCUUCUAGGCUAAAAGCAACAAGUGUGUUCUGAACAUUACUCUAUCAGGCUCUAAAUAACAUAGGAGUUUUCUCUGCAGUCCCAUUAUUUAUAACACCUCCUAGUCGGAUAUUUGACCAGAACUCUUUUAAUUGCGUCUGCACAUAUGGCGUCGAUGUGAAAAUCUCAUCACUUCUCUAUACAUCACACACCCCCCAUUAUCAAUCAUGAUUGGGUAAUGGAUUCUCUGCACUUGAUGAGUCACCAAACUUAACAACACCCAUGUCGAUGAGUCUUUCAACUUGCUUAUUGAAGGCAGUGCAAUUCUCAAUCGAAUGUCCCGUAAUUUCCGCGUGGUAUUCGCAUUGCACGUUCACAUCAUACCAUUUGGGAUACGGAGGUUGUAGAGGCUUCACAGGAAAAGGGGAAACAACACGUGCAUCAAACAAAUUUUGAUACAGUUCCCUAUACGACACCGGAAUUGGCGUGAAUUGGGGCCUCUCAAUGUUUUGUCUUGUACCAGCUUCCUGUCUCGAUGAAGCCUGUUGAUUAGUAGCCACCUUUCUUGGCUGACUCACAGUAACUGAUUUAGAGUAACCCAUGUUGUUCACCUAAUUUUCUCUUCUCUUUGGGGCUGACCUCUUGUUACUCUCAUCUGCAUCAAUUUUCCCGCUCCUUAUGGCGUUUUCAAUCAUUUCACCAUUCAUGACUAUGUCAGAAAAGGUUUUUGUGGCACUCCCUAACAUAUGUGUAAUGAAUGGUGCCUUUAGUGUGUUAAUGAACAGCAUCGUCAUUUCUUUCUCUGAGAGUGGUGGUUGAACUUGGACUGCAACUUCCCUCCAUCUUUGUGCGUACUGCCUAAAACUUUCGUUCGGCUUCUUCUCUAUGUUCUGAAGGGUGAUUCUAUCAGGAGCCAUGUCUGUCACAUGACUAUAUUGUUUCAUGAAUGCUUGCGCCAAGUCCAUUCAUGAACCAAUCGUGGCACGACUCAACUGAUUGUACCACUUGGAUGCUGCCCCUGCAAGGCUGUCUUGGAAGCAAUGUAUUAAAAGCUGGUUAUUGUUAACGUAUCCAGCCAUUCGCCUGCAGAACAUGGUAACAUGAGCCUCUGGGCAAGUCGUCCCAUUGUACUUCUCAAAUUCAGGCAUCUUAAACUUAUGAUGGAGUACUAGAUCUGGCACUAAACUCAGCUCUUUUGCGUCAAUGCCUCGAUAACUUUCAGAAACUUCCAUCGCCUUGAACUUCUCCUCGAGCCACUUGCAUCUCUCCUCUAACUGUCUCGGUAACUCCUCAUUCACUCUUUCCUUCUCAACCACUUCAUCAAAGUCAGGAAUGGCAGAGUUAAUAGGAUUAUUUUCAGGAUUAAAACCCGACUCAGUUUGGCGAUUCGAAAUAUCAGCUCGAAAUUGCUGAGGCAUGAUGGUGACAGUAGAUUUGCGCGGGUAUUCAACUUGAGUUCGCUCAUGCGGAGGGGUGAAACCUGGAGGAUAGAAUAGUUCCUCAUCAUUUCCCUCAUCGACAUCUGUCAUGGGGCCCUUUCCUUUGUCACCUCCCUUAGUUAUCAGUUGGGUUAACUUUGUCACUAUAUCCUCUUGAGAUUCCUGCAUCUUCUCAGACAUUUCUUGCUUCAUCUUGUCUAACCGCUCCUGCAUUUGUAGCUGAAGCCGGUCUUGCAUCUCCUUCUGGUACUGUUCGAGCUUCUCUAAUCUCUGAUCUAUAUCUUUUGUCUUUGCUCGAGUGCCGUAUCGGUGUUGGGUUGGUUGGUUGGUUUCCAGGUUAACUGAGCAAUAAUUUUAAUUAAUUAGGAUCAAUUAAAGGUUUUUAAUGCAUAUGAUGCGAUGUAUGAGAUGAAUGCAUAAAGAGACGUUAAUUCUGAUUCAAUUCCAUUUAGAAAACUUUACUAGAGGACAAAUUUCUUUACAUAAAGUGGAUAUAUGUACGGCUUUGCCCUCAUACUCCAAGCAAAUACAUCUUCUCCUUCUUCAUCCGGAUGUUAAGAUAAACCUCGCGAACUUCCAAAGGAUGUCACUGCUAGCUCAUCCUGCUUGAUUCUGGUCGCAAUCCGUUGUCUGCCUAUCCUCGCAAUGCUCAUUAGCUUCUUUAAGAAAUUUGGAAUGUUGAAAGCUCUUAGACAAUCAUCUUGAAUCCUCGGGCCCCGAAGUAAAGUCACAAAUUCUUCCAUCGCCCUUCUUGUAUUUCUUGGAAUACAUUCAGGCUGCCGUACUAUUUCCAUUUUAUCAAGAAACCCGUUUUCUUAUGAUAGGCUUUCCAAAUUAGCAAUCAAACUUGAAUCAACAUCUCUUUUCUAAAAUGCAAAUGCAAUGCAAUCAUAACCAAAACAAAACAAAACGGGUUAGUAUCGGGUAUAAACAUUAAAUCCAAUACAAUCAAGAAAUAAUAAAAACUCAUAGUCAGGUAUCUACUAAGGUUUUGAGUAAUUCUACCUAGGGUAAGUUCCUAAGGUUCAGUAUAUGCGGUUUGGCUUCUAAGGUAAAGGUACCCGAACCAGCAGAUUCCUCGAUCCUCCCCCAUUAUAGGCUCAUGUGGACCGAGUUCAGUUUAGGGGGACACAUUUCCCUAUGGCUGCACGGAGAUGAAAAUCUCACGAAGACAUAGAUACGGAUAUAUCCCGGAAGCGGUCCAUUACCCUGCACGGAGGUGAAAACCUCACGAAGGACUAGUUUCUCGCCCCCACUUAAAGGGUAAAAUGCAAAAUGCAAAUACAAAGUUGCUAACACCAUGAUGAAAAAACAAUGAAGGGAACUCAUGAAAUUUUUUUUAAAAAAACUUUUAAUUUCCGACACCAAGACAAACGUAAUCAGUUUAUGGCUUGACUCUCUAAUGUCCCCAGCGGAGUUGCCAAGCUGUCGAAACCCUUUUUUGAAAACAAAAAUUUUAGUUGUCGACUUUAAAAAAAACAAAACUGGAGUCGCCACCGACCCUUUAUUAAGGUGUGAUCGGCCCACCUUAAAAACAAUUUUGGUCUGCGAAAUUUGAGAAAACAGGUUCGGGAGUCAGUUACGCACGAGGAAGGAUUAGCACUCUCGCAACGUCCAAAAUUGGUACCAAAUUGAUUUUAAAUGCCUUGGUGUCGAAAAUUUGAAAAGACUUUAAAAGGAAACUUUUUAUUUCAUGAAUGGAUUAAAAUAAUAAGACAAUUCGUAUUUCAAAGAAAUAAAACACCACACCCAGUAAGUUAGGGCACAAUGUUUUUAAAACCUCAAAAUACCCGAAUAUUACCUUUUGUUUCUGAAAAUUCUUAUUUCGAGAAGAAAAUGUCAUGACCAGUAAGUUAGGAACCAACAUUUUGAAUUCCCGAGAAUAAGCUUUUUAUUUAAAAUUUGCGAAUUCAUGGCAAAACAAAUACUUGGCUUUCUAAUUUCAUCGAAAAAAAUAACCGCGAUCCAGUAAGUUAGGACACAAUCUUUCCCGAGAAUUCUGAAUGCCAAAUAUUUUAGAAUUUAUAAAAUAGGAUGAUUUCAAUUCUUUGAGAAAACCAAAAUAGAUAUUUUAAAAGAGAUGCCCAAAAGGGUUAGGGCAUAACAUGAAACAAAUACUCUAGUUUAAGACAAAUAUGAAUAAAUAUUUACAAGUAUAUAUACAAGUACAUAUAAUACACAAACAAAUUCACAAAUAUACGUACACACAUAUUUAAUGCAUACAUAGCAGUGUACAUAAAAAAGGGAGGUAAAGAAAUAUAUACAAUGAGCUCACAAUAGUUUCUAAGAAUAUGCAUGCAAGACACGUGUGUAUAUGUGAAAAUUGUGAAGAUAACAAAUAUUAAAAUAUGCAUAUGUAUAUAAAAAAAACAAAAAAUGUAUAAGUAUAUAUGUGUAUAAUAUAAAGUAUAUAAACGUUAAAACAAAAAAAAUGUAUGUAUAUGUAUAUAUUUACAAAUACGGCGUAUAUAUAUAUGCGAAAUGUAAAAAUUUAUAGAUGUAUACAAAAAUUGUAAAAAUAAAAUAUAACUUUGUACAUGUAUAAAAUAAAAAAAAUAAAGUAUAUAUAUUUAUAGAUUGUAAGUAUAUAUGUGUAUAUAAAAAUAUGAAAAACAUAAUAUAUAUAAGAAUGCGUACGCAUUUAUAAAAAUUAUACGUAUAUAUUAUAUAUAUAUAUAAAAAGAAAUGCGUGUGUUAAUGUAUAAAAAAAUAGAAAAAAUAAUGAUGGUAGAAACAAUAUAAUAAUAAAGAUAUGAUAAAAAUAUCAACAACAUUAAAAAUAAAAAAAAACUAAGAUGAAGGAUUAAAUCAAAAAUAAAAAAAAUUAAGGGCCGAAUUUAAAGUUAAAAAAACGCGCAAAGGGACCACAUCAAAACGCGCACAACCAAAGGAGGACCCAUUGAGAAAUUAAUCCACUUUCUCCAAUUGUUGCGCAGCAGUAAGGGCUAGAUUGAAACAGAAAUAAAGUAUGUGGGUAAAAUUAAAAGAAAUCUGAAAUUCAAUUUAAACGCACAGCAAGAAUAGGGGGACCAAAUGCACAAAUAGACCAUCUAAGGUCAGAAUGCGCAGAUUCCCCUCCCCCCAAACGGCGCCAUUUCGCUUAUGUCUUAAAUUAACCAAAGGAAAAAAAUUGAAAUCAAAUCUGUUCCAUUUAAAAAGAAAUCAAUUGCUGCUAGGGCUUUUCUCCUAUCCCUCUUGCGCCGUCGAUCAUCUAUUCCCCCUCCAAAACUCCGAUUGCGACGGAGAUGGUAGUGGCGCGACAGCCUCGACGAGAAGGUGAGCUUUUCUUCCUCCUCUUCUUUUAUAUUAUUUGCAAUAUAGAACCAAAAAACAGAAAAAGGAAAAUCUAAAAAAAUCUAAUAAUCACCUUUUAAAGAAUGAAUAAUCGAUUUGCUCUCGUAUUAGUUUUCUCUGUAUUUUCAGUCUCUUCCCCCCUUUCUUUUACAUAUUAAAUGGCCUUUUAUAGGCUGAAGAAAAAAAACAAAAUAAAUCGAUGACAUUAUUUUUUGCUUGUUUUUCUCCUCUGGAUUCUUUGAGUCCGCGAUUGCAGGAGUUCGUGGAGUGUACGACGCGAGGAAAAGGGGUGGUUCCGCAACGUGCGCUGAUCAGAUCUGCUGGAGCGCGUCGUAGGGGCUGUUGCGGCGCUGAGGCGAAUGCAUCUAGGGUUUCGGUGUUUUGGGGUUUGGGUAAUUGGGCCUAGGCUAGUAGUUUUGCUGUAUUGGGCCAUGUCCUGUUUUGUGCGGGCUUGGGUUAUUUUUGUUUGUUUUUAUUAUUUUAAAAGCUCGGGCAAAAGGGCUAUUACAAGCCUGAUUCUAAAUAUAUUUUUUUUACACAGAGAAACAAGCAAUCAAACGAAAAAAAAAAGAACAAAAAGCAUUAAAAGAUAAAAAAACAAAGGUGAUUUCUCUUGUUUUUUGUUUUGUUUUUUUUUAAUUUUUGAAAAAAAUAAAUAAAAAUACAAAAAUCGUUUUUUUACCUAAGUCGCUUCAUCUCCCCUUGUUGUCGGAGGCCUUCUCCGGCUUCAAAUCCCAGAAUCCAUUAGGGUUUGGCCUAGGCUUCAACAGAGCAGGGCCUGAACGGCAUGAAAUGAGCCGAAGGUUCCUUUUUUUAUUAAUUUUUCUCGCGGAUAGAAGGCAUUGCCUUCAUUUUGGGGUUCAAAAGGGGUUAAAACUCUUUUUAAUAAAAAAAGGAAAAAAGGAAGGAGAAAGGUACUUUUCUGGCCCCCGGAGGUGACGGCCACCGUAUCCGAUGACAGGUGGCCACGGUGGACCACGGCGGGGCGACGACGGUCCUAUGGCCCGACCCUGGGGCGUGUUUCAGAGAAAAAAAUAGGAAAAUGGAGUUUAAAAAAAAACACAAUUGAAAUUAUUAUUAUUUUUUUUGAUGCCGUUUCGGGAUUGGCCUCAGGAGCCGAAAACGACAUCAUUUUGAAAUAGGACUCGACUCGAACUGCAUAGGAUCCACGUAUUUUUUAUGUGGGUGGUCUAUUUACGCAUUUGGUCCAUCUGCUUUUGCAACUUGUUUCAAUUUAGCCCUUUUUCUUUUUAAUUAUUUUAUUUCUUUCCCUGUAAUUUUGAAUUGCUUACAAAUUAGUCCCCUGACUGAGCGCCGACCUUCUGGAGAAUGACGCGUGUCCUGGAGUUUGGGAUAAUUUAUCAUUUAGUCCUUAUUUCUUUUCGCGCAUUUCAUUUUGGUCCUUUAUUCUGUUUUAUUAGUUAUCUUUUAUUAUUUACAAUUUAUACCCCC
rnacentral:lncRNA from 1 species